GACGAACGCUGGCGGCGUGCUUAACACAUGCAAGUCGAACGGAAAGGCCCUGCUUUUGUGGGGUGCUCGAGUGGCGAACGGGUGAGUAACACGUGAGUAACCUGCCCUUGACUUUGGGAUAACUUCAGGAAACUGGGGCUAAUACCGGAUAUGAGCUCCUGCUGCAUGGUGGGGGUUGGAAAGUUUCGGCGGUUGGGGAUGGACUCGCGGCUUAUCAGCUUGUUUGUGGGGUAGUGGCUUACCAAGGCUUUGACGGGUAGCCGGCCUGAGAGGGUGACCGGCCACAUUGGGACUGAGAUACGGCCCAGACUCCAACGGGAGGCAGCAGUGGGGAAUAUUGCACAAUGGGCGGAAGCCUGAUGCAGCAACGCCGCGUGCGGGAUGACGGCCUUCGGGUUGUAAACCGCUUUCGCCUGUGACGAAGAGUGAGUGACGGUAAUGGGUAAAGAAGCACCGGCUAACUACGUG
rnacentral:rRNA from 1 species